UACUUGGCCGAGUGGUUAAGGCGAUAGACUUGAAAUCUAUUAGGUAUUCCUGCACAGGUUCGAAUCCUGUAGUAUG
rnacentral:tRNA from 1 species